rnacentral:ncRNA from 1 species
GACCGACGCCAAGCUGCCGGACAACCAGGCGGGCUACGAAAAAGGUAUCAAUGUCACCUUGGCCGCGCUUGCAGGUGCUAACUCGGUC